rnacentral:lncRNA from 1 species
CGGAGAUCUUCGUCACCGACGAGGCCGGCUACGUCGACUCCGACCCCGGCCACGGCUUCGAGGACAUCCGCGAGCAGAUCUUCGGCUCCGCCGACACCUCCGCCGUGCCGGCCCCCAUGUCCGGCUUCGCCCAGAACGCCCGCGGGAUGGGCCUCGGCAUGCCGCAGAACGUCAUGAGCGGGUUCAAGCCGGAGUCCGUGCCGGUCUACGCCGCCCUCGCCGACGAGUUCGCCGUGUUCGACCGGUGGUUCGCCUCCGUGCCCACCUCCACCCAGCCCAAUCGCCUCUACGUCCAUUCCGCGACCUCCCAUGGCCUCACCUUCAAUGCCCGCAAGGACCUCAUCCAUGGCUUCCCGCAGAAGACCAUCUUCGAUAGCCUCGAGGAGAACGGCUUGUCCUUUGGC